ACGCUGGCGGCAGGCCUAACACAUGCAAGUCGAGCGGUAGAGAGAAGCUUGCUUCUCUUGAGAGCGGCGGACGGGUGAGUAAUGCCUAGGAAUCUGCCUGGUAGUGGGGGAUAACGUUCGGAAACGGACGCUAAUACCGCAUACGUCCUACGGGAGAAAGCAGGGGACCUUCGGGCCUUGCGCUAUCAGAUGAGCCUAGGUCGGAUUAGCUAGUUGGUGAGGUAAUGGCUCACCAAGGCGACGACCCGUAACUGGUCUGAGAGGAUGAUCAGUCACACUGGAACUGAGACACGGUCCAGACUCCUACGGGAGGCAGCAGUGGGGAAUAUUGGACAAUGGGCGAAAGCCUGAUCCAGCCAUGCCGCGUGUGUGAAGAAGGUCUUCGGAUUGUAAAGCACUUUAAGUUGGGAGGAAGGGCAUUAACCUAAUACGUUAGUGUUUUGACGUUACCGACAGAAUAAGCACCGGCUAACUCUGUGCCAGCAGCCGCGGUAAUACAGAGGGUGCAAGCGUUAAUCGGAAUUACUGGGCGUAAAGCGCGCGUAGGUGGUUUGUUAAGUUGGAUGUGAAAUCCCCGGGCUCAACCUGGGAACUGCAUUCAAAACUGACUGACUAGAGUAUGGUAGAGGGUGGUGGAAUUUCCUGUGUAGCGGUGAAAUGCGUAGAUAUAGGAAGGAACACCAGUGGCGAAGGCGACCACCUGGACUAAUACUGACACUGAGGUGCGAAAGCGUGGGGAGCAAAC
rnacentral:rRNA from 1 species